UACGUAGGUCGCAAGCGUUGUCCGGAUUUAUUGGGCGUAAAGAGCUCGUAGGCGGUUCAGUAAGUCGGGUGUGAAAACUCUGGGCUCAACCCAGAGACGCCACCCGAUACUGCUGUGACUUGAGUACGGUAGGGGAGUGGGGAAUUCCUGGUGUAGCGGUGAAAUGCGCAGAUAUCAGGAGGAACACCAGUGGCGAAGGCGCCACUCUGGGCCGGCAUUGACGCUGAGGCGCGAAAGCCUAGGGGAGCAAACGGG
rnacentral:rRNA from 1 species